rfam:Zootermopsis nevadensis contig11142, whole genome shotgun sequence.
GCCACGGUGGUCUAGAGGUUAGAACGCUGGCCUUGUAAUCCUGGGGUCUCGGGUUCGAUUCCCGGCGGUGCCC